rnacentral:tRNA from 1 species
ACUUUAUUAGUUUAAUUUUAAAAUAUGACUCUGAAGAAGUCAAGAUUUUGUAUGAAGUG